ensembl:lncRNA
CCGGCAUGUGCCUCAGGCCUAGCAUGGAAUUUACAGUGAAGUAUAACCUGGUUACGUUAUAAUUUUCACAAAAUACACAACUGGAUACAGUUAUCAGGGCGUAGUGACUCCCUGUGCCAGAGACCUCAGCCAGGACUGCACAAGUAUGAUCAUGCCCUCUGGUGUCUCCAGCUUCUUGCUGGAUUGUAUGGAUUCAGACUUGGAAGCAGGUGACGCACAACCAUCCAUUGAGACUUUUUGCAAAGCUGAUACUUCUGAUGAGGGAACAGGUCUGGUCAGUGAAGAUGAAAUGCUGCACUGCUGUAUCAGGAACUCAACGCUUCUCAGUUUCAGUGACGCUGUGAAUAUCGGAAUGCAGCAUCCUCCAAACCUCUCCUCCAUUCUGGAGCUGUCACCUGUUACUGAUGGACAAACUGCAAAAGGCUCAUUUUCUCUGCCCUUCCUUCAACCUGUGUCACCUCUUGGCUCCUCUGCUUUGGUUGGGCUAUGUGAUAAUUUGACAUCCCCAAAGAAUACCUCAGGAGGUAAAGGCAAAACCACUGGAGUUGAAGAAAGGACUCCUGUAACCAAGAUAACUGCAGCAUUUUCUCCUGCUGUAAAAAAAAAG